rnacentral:rRNA from 1 species
UACAGAGGUGGCAAGCGUUGUUCGGAAUUACUGGGCGUAAAGGGCGCGUAGGCGGCCUUCUAAGUCAGACGUGAAAUCCCCCGGCUUAACCUGGGAACUGCGUCUGAUACUGGAAGGCUUGAGUGCGGGAGAGGGAUGUGGAAUUCCAGGUGUAGCGGUGAAAUGCGUAGAUAUCUGGAGGAACACCGGUGGCGAAGGCGGCAUCCUGGACCGACACUGACGCUGAGACGCGAAAGCGUGGGGAGCAAACAGG